rnacentral:misc_RNA from 1 species
GAUGAAGAACGUAGCGAAAUGCGAUAAGUAAUGUGAAUUGCAGAAUUCAGUGAAUCAUCGAAUCUUUGAACGCACAUUGCGCCCGCCAGCAUUCUGGCGGGCAUGCCUGUUCGAGCGUCAUUUCAACCCUCGAGCCCCCCCGGGGGCCUCGGUGUUGGGGGACGGCACACCAGCCGCCCCCGAAAUGCAGUGGCGACCCCGCCGCAGCCUCCCCUGCGUAGUAGCACACACCUCGCACCGGAGCGCGGAGGCGGUCACGCCGUAAAACGCCUAACUUUCUUAGAGUUGACCUCGGAUCAGGUAGGAAUACCCGCUGAACUUAAGCAUAUCAAUAAGCGGAGGA